AAUAGCUCAAAUUUGAAAGCUGGCCCCUUCGGGGUCCGCGUUGUAAUUUGUAGAGGAUGAUUCGGCGAGGGCUCCCGUCUAAGUCCCUUGGAACAGGGCGUCAUAGAGGGUGAGAAUCCCGUAUGUGAUGGGCUGCCUUAGCCAUGUGAAUCUCCUUCGACGAGUCGAGUUGUUUGGGAAUGCAGCUCUAAAUGGGAGGUAAAUUUCUUCUAAAGCUAAAUACCGGCCAGAGACCGAUAGCGCACAAGUAGAGUGAUCGAAAGAUGAAAAGCACUUUGGAAAGAGAGUUAAAAAGUACGUGAAAUUGUUGAAAGGGAAGCGCUUGCAGCCAGACUUGUCCGCAGUUGCUCAGCCUGUCUCCUGACAGGCGUACUCUUCUGCGGCCAGGCCAGCAUCAGUUCGGGCGGUCGGAUAAAGACCCGGGGAAUGUAGCUCCUCUCGGGGAGUGUUAUAGCCCUGGGUGCAAUGCGGCCAGCCUGGACUGAGGAUCUCGCUUCGGCUAGGAUGCUGGCGUAAUGGCUGUAAGCGGCCCGUCUUGAAACACGGACCAAGGAGUCUAACAUCUAUGCGAGUGUUUGGGUGUCAAACCCAUGCGCGUAAUGAAAGUGAACGGAGGUGGGAACCCUCACGGGUGCACCAUCGACCGAUCCUGAUGUCUUCGGAUGGAUUUGAGUAAGAGCAUAGCUGUUGGGACCCGAAAGAUGGUGAACUAUGCCUGAAUAGGGUGAAGCCAGAGGAAACUCUGGUGGAGGCUCGCAGCGGUUCUGACGUGCAAAUCGAUCGUCAAAUUUGGGUAUAGGGGCGAAAGACUAAUCG
rnacentral:rRNA from 1 species